rnacentral:rRNA from 1 species
AGAGUUUGAUCAUGGCUCAGGACGAACGCUGGCGGCGUGCUUAACACAUGCAAGUGGAGCGACGAACCAGGGCUUGCCCUGGGGCAAAGCCGCGAACGGGUGAGUAACACGUGGGUAACCUGCCCCGAUGACCGGGACAACCCGAGGAAACUCGGGCUAAUACCGGAUGUAGAUCCUUCACAUAAGUGAAGUAUUUAAAGGUAGCUUCGGCUUCCGCAUUGGGAGGGGCCCGCGGCCCAUUAGCUUGUUGGUGAGGUAACGGCUUACCAAGGCUUCGAUGGGUAGCUGGUCUGAGAGGACGAUCAGCCACACUGGGACUGAGACACGGCCCAGACUCCUACGGGAGGCAGCAGUGGGGAAUCUUGCGCAAUGCGCGAAAGCGUGACGCAGCAACGCCGCGUGGGGGAAGACGGCCUUCGGGUUGUAAACCCCUUUCAGGAGGGACGAAGGUCGCACGGUUAAUAGCCGGCGCGAUUGACGGUACCUCCAGAAGAAGCCCCGGCUAACUACGUGCCAGCAGCCGCGGUAAUACGUAGGGGGCAAGCGUUGUCCGGAAUUAUUGGGCGUAAAGAGCGCGUAGGCGGUCCGAUAAGUCGGCUGUGAAAGUCAGGGGCUCAACCCUUGAAAGCCGGCCGAUACUGUCGGACUAGAGUCCGGAAGAGGCGAGUGGAAUUCCCGGUGUAGCGGUGAAAUGCGCAGAUAUCGGGAGGAACACCAAUGGCGAAGGCAGCUCGCUGGGACGGUACUGACGCUGAGGCGCGAAAGCGUGGGGAGCAAACAGGAUUAGAUACCCCAGUAGUCC